GCCCGCCUAGCUCAAUCGGAUAGAGCGUCAGACUCUUAAGAGUUGCGGGUGUACCGUCAUCUGAAGGCUGCGAGUUCGACCCUCGCGGUGGGCU